GGAAGUGCGGCGUCUACACAUGCAGUCGAACGAUGAACCUCCUUCGGGAGGGGAUUAGUGGCGAACGGGUGAGUAACACGUGGGCAAUCUGCCCUUCACUCUGGGACAAGCCCUGGAAACGGGGUCUAAUACCGGAUACGACUACCGACCGCAUGGUCUGGUGGUGGAAAGCUCCGGCGGUGAAGGAUGAGCCCGCGGCCUAUCAGCUUGUUGGUGGGGUGAUGGCCUACCAAGGCGACGACGGGUAGCCGGCCUGAGAGGGCGACCGGCCACACUGGGACUGAGACACGGCCCAGACUCCUACGGGAGGCAGCAGUGGGGAAUAUUGCACAAUGGGCGAAAGCCUGAUGCAGCGACGCCGCGUGAGGGAUGACGGCCUUCGGGUUGUAAACCUCUUUCAGCAGGGAAGAAGCGAGAGUGACGGUACCUGCAGAAGAAGCGCCGGCUAACUACGUGCCAGCAGCCGCGGUAAUACGUAGGGCGCAAGCGUUGUCCGGAAUUAUUGGGCGUAAAGAGCUCGUAGGCGGCUUGUCACGUCGGAUGUGAAAGCCCGGGGCUUAACCCCGGGUCUGCAUUCGAUACGGGCAGGCUAGAGUUCGGUAGGGGAGAUCGGAAUUCCUGGUGUAGCGGUGAAAUGCGCAGAUAUCAGGAGGAACACCGGUGGCGAAGGCGGAUCUCUGGGCCGAUACUGACGCUGAGGAGCGAAAGCGUGGGGAGCGAACAGGAUUAGAUACCCUGGUAGUCCACGCCGUAAACGUUGGGAACUAGGUGUGGGGCGACAUUCCACGUCGUCCGUGCCGCAGCUAACGCAUUAAGUUCCCCGCCUGGGGAGUACGGCCGCAAGGCUAAAACUCAAAGGGAUUGACGGGGGCC
rnacentral:rRNA from 1 species